rnacentral:rRNA from 1 species
UACAGAGGUCCCAAGCGUUGUUCGGAUUCACUGGGCGUAAAGGGUGCGUAGGUGGCCAGGUAAGUUUGGUGUGAAAGCUCGGAGCUCAACUCCGAAAUGGCAUUGAAUACUAUCUGGCUGGAGGGUCGGAGGGGAGACUGGAAUUCUCGGUGUAGCAGUGAAAUGCGCAGAUAUCAGGAGGAACACCGAUGGCGAAGGCAGGUCUCUGGGCCACUACUGACGCUGAGAAGCGAAGGCAUGGGGAGCGAACAGG